GAAGUGCGAUAAGCAAUGCGAAUUGCAGAAUUCCGCGAAUCAUCAGAUCUUUGAACGCAAAUGGCGCCAGAGGGAUAUCCUUCCGGCAUGUCUGUUUCAGUGUCUGAGAGGUUUCACCAUAUCUUAAUGUGAUUGAUGAGUUUUAGUAGUAGUGGUUUACUCCUCUUCUACCAAAAUACAUCUCUCAUGAAAGAUGUUCGAGUGGAUCUUUUGGUCCAAUGAAGUGGUCACAUCACUCGCAUGUGAUUUCAUUGGGAUCACCAAAUUAUCCAUUAUACUCGAAGUACUCUCAUAUUCUUCCCUUACCCGGAAGAAUCACUCCACACCCUGCAUCUGAGACAGGCAAGAUCACCCGCUGAACUUAA
rnacentral:misc_RNA from 1 species